CACCAUACCGCCCUUUUAGGUUCAUCAGACUGAACUGUUUGAAAUAGCUUCUCAAUAUUGUCACCACCAUACAGUAAUGUACUAAAGACAAUGCUUUUAUUUAUUUUGUUCCUUUGCAGGUCAUUGUUACAAGAAAACUUGCCAAAUUUUGUGUCACUGUGCACAAGAUUGAUGUAUCUGCUGAUUUAGAAAUGCUAAACGCCACCACGGAAACAUAGUGCAAGCAAAAGAUUUAUGUUAGGAGAUACUCUACAUAAAAGACAUGGUAUAGACACCUCUUCCACUACUGUGCCAUCAUCUGUCUCUUUGCUGGCAAAGACCAGGAUCUCCAACAUAUGAAAACACAAACGUACAAAUCAGAAGGAGUAGCCCAUUCAGCAUGUUGAACCUAUUCUGCAAUUCGGUAAUAUCACAACUGAUCUGACUUAUAUUGUCAUCUCUAUUCUUUCUAACUGCUGAUAGCCAUUGGUGUUCUUGUUAGUCAAGAAUGUAUAAUGCGUUGUCAUUAAAAAUAUUCUGUCUCUCUCUCUCGGGAAGAGAGUUCCAAAGACUUGUGACACCUUUAGAAAGAAAAAGUUCUAGUCUUCAUCAUAAAUGCGAGUCCCUUUGUUCUUAAAUUGUAUUCUUAAAUCCAAUGCUCCCCACAAGAGGAAACAUUGUUUGAGCAUCCACCUUAUCAAAUUCGCUCAGGGUCUUGUAGGUUUCAAUAAUAACGCCCUUCAUUCUUCUAACUGCAACGAUUACAGGCCUAGCCUAAUAAAUGUUUCUGCAUAAGAUAACCCUUCCACUCCAGGAACGUUCUCUGAACUGCUUUCACUUUGUUUUAUUUUUUCUUAAAUACAGGAAAACUGAUCAAAUCAUAUUCGUACACUGUAAUCUCAACAAUGAGCUCUACAACUGUAGCAAAACAUACUUACAUUUAUAUUCCAUUUGGGUAAAUGCAGUGACACCUUGCUACCUAACACACCACUAUUUCUGGCAUCUGCUUGCCACUUUUCCUUUAAGUCUUCAAACGCCUAAUAUUGAUAAUGAAUAACAAUGCAUAGUAAUAUUCACCCUCUGAAUAUUUAGCAUUUUCCUGAUUUGACAGCUUCCAGGACUCUGCACAAGAUGAUCACUUUAAACAAUGACUCACUUAAUCUAGAUUCUUUACUGUCAGCAAGUUUUUAUUGUUCACUCAAAAGUAGAUGAGUUAUUAUUUUUUAACAUUCAGAGGUCACAACAAAGGUCAUAAUCUGCGAUGGAACAUUCACUUCGCUUCACCUAAAUUCCCUAAUGUAAACCCUCAAAGUCUGGGAGAACAAUAAAUCCACUAGCACAGCACAUGCUGACAUUCAAGAAGGGGAAAGAACCCGUAAAAUUUGACCAAUUAUAUGUUCCUAAUAUGCCACCUCACCUGGCAGGAAUGAAAAAAAUCAGGAAAUCAUAAACCUAUAGGCAGUAAAUUUUGAUUAAGCAGUUGGAUUAAAAAAAAUGUGGACUGGGCUAUCUUGAGGCACAGUGGUAAUGUCCCUAUCCCUAGACCAAGAGACCUGGCUUCAAUUCCUACCUGCUCCGUGAGAUGUGUAAGCACGUCUCUAGAACAGGUUGAUUCGGAAAAAUAGGUUAAUUAUAAAAAGGGAAAACUGUGGACUGGGCCCUCUUGUGGUAUAAUGGUAGUGUCCUUACCCCUGGACUGGGAGGCAUGUUCGGUUCCACCUGCUCCUGGCAUGUGUAAGUACAUUUUGAACAGAUUGCUUAGAAAAAUAGGUUCAUAAAAAGAAAGAAAGCCAUUGACUAUAAAGCAAGCAGUUUUCUGAUUGUUGGUAAAGGCUUCAUAACUAUCCCCUUCCAUUUACAUUGCAGAUUCUGUGGCUCAAUAACUCAUUAUUGGAAACUAAUGUUUCCCCUUAUACAUCAUUUUGAGAGUAAUGAUUGAACUUUGAUGAUAUUGGUAAUUCCUGGGAAACCAAGUGAUCCUAAUGUAUUAGAGCCAAUCCCACUUUCCAAUAAGUGAUAGGCAUUCCUUGAAUGAGUCUAAACUAAUAGUUUUCCACAAGAUGAAAUGAAAAUCAUGUUAGUCUUUAAGAAGACUGAGCCUUAACGAGGUACAGUAAUCUUGAAAAAAAUACUGAUUUCACACCUCUUUGGAAAAGAUGGGAGGUUGUGAUUUAUACAACAACAGCAGUCUGACAAAUCUUGGGAGUCUCUUCCAUUGAGGAAGCCAGGAAGUUCAGUGUGAAGUAUCAGGACUACAGACCAUUGGGCUGCUAUUUCAUUAGACAGAGCCAACUGUUGGCAAUUCAACCUGAGGGUCGCCAUUCCUCAGUUGAGGGGAGAUAUUGAAAUGGAGAGUCCAUCAUGCAGAAAUUGAAUCCCCACUGUUUCCAUCAUUCUGUGUCACAAACUAGCUAUCCAGCCAAUUGAGCUAAUCAACUCCCUUUUGGUUAAGCUACAGGUCAAGGCAAUUGGGUUGAAAAUCUAUGUUUUUCUGCUACAUGUCUGCGCUAACAUUGACAAGUAUCUGCUGGAAACUGAUGAAAGUGGGGCUGAAAAACCAACACAUUAAAUCCUGGAUGGAUGCACACUCUCAAUUCUGAAUGGGUGGUGGACACUUUAAAUACAGAGUGCAGGGAUGUGUAGCAAGGUUUUGCUAGACCCAUCAGAGAGCUGUUACUUUUCACAGGAAAUAUACAUCUGCAGUUUGGGAAGAACUGGUGAAAAAAGUAAUAACAUUAUAUGGCUGAUAGUGAUAGUCCAUGAGCAUAAUGAUCUACCUUGAUUGAAAUUUAAACUAGUGUUUUAUGACAGCUUCUUUAAAGAAGUUAUAAAGUUCAGCACUUGUCCAAACUUGAGGGGAGAACCCUUGUACUUCUGAGACUUCACACUGAACUUUCUGGCUUCCUCAAUGGAGGAGACACCCCAGAUUUAUCAGCCUGCUGUUGUUAUGUAAAUCACAAGUGAGAUCAGUUUCUUUUAAAUAAAGCUCACUCUUGUCUGUUAAGUCUCAGCCUUUUUAAAGAUUAACAUGUUUUUCAUUUCGUCUUGUGGAAAACUACCAGAUUGGAAUCAUCUUGCCCACUCAGCUAGAUUUAAUAAUGCGGUCUUUUGAAUUGGUUGCUAUAGUGUCCCUGCAAUGUGACUUCUGCUGGGACUGUUACACCGAGUCAUCAUAUUGUGAAGUUCUCUGAUGGGAGGAGCAAAGAAGGAGGCUAUUCAACCCAUUAUGUCUUUGCUGACCCUCUGAAGGACAAUUCACUUAGUGCUACGAGCCUAUACCUCUAUAGUUUUUCCUUUUCAGAUAAAGACCUAAUUCUGUCUAAAGACCUCAAUUGACCUACCUACACCAGAUUUUCAAGCAAUGCAUUCCAGAUCCUAACCAUCCGCUACAGGAUAAGGUUUUUCCUCAUGACGGCACUUUUUUUUUUGCUAGUUAUCUUAAAUUGUUAUCCUUCAUGAAUGGGAAUGGCAGUACUUCUCUCUAUGUCCAUGUCCAUAUGUCCAUGAUCUUGAGCAGCUCCAUCAAAUCUCAUCUCAACCAAACUUCUGUAAGUGGAACAGCCACAGCUUUGCCAAUCUAUCAACAUAAGUGAAGUAUCUCAUUCCUGAAACCAUAGAACAUAGAACAUAGAACAUAGAACAUAGAACAGUACAGCACAGAACAGGCCCUUCAGCCCACAAUGUUGUGCCGACCAUUGAUCCUCAUAUGAAUUUUUCCUGCAUUCUCGCUAAUACCUUGACAUCUUCAUUAAGUGAGCUGCAGAAUUAAUAAUUGAAAUUAAGGAAAUGGCAGGUGAAUUGGAGAGUUAUUUAGCACUAAGCUUCACUAUAGAGGAUACUAGUUAGAUCAUAGAACAUUACAGCACAGUACAGGCCCUUCGGCCCUCGAUGUUGUGCCGACCUGUCAUACCGAUCUCAAGCCCAUCUAACCUACAUUAUUCCAUGUACGUCCAUAUGCUUAUCCAAUGACGACUUAAAUGUACCUAAAGUUGGCGAAUCUACUACCAUUGCAGGCAAAGCGUUCCAUUCCCUUACUACUCUCUGAGUAAAGAAACUACCUCUGACAUCUGACUUAUAUCUUUCACCCCUCAAUUUAAAGCUAUGCCCCUUCGUGCUCGCCAUCACCAUCCUAGGAAAAAGGCUCUCCCUAUCCACCCUUUCUAACCCUCUGAUUAUUUUAUAUGUUUCAAUUAAGUCACCUCUCAACCUUCUUCUCUCUAAUGAAAACAGCCUCAAGCCCCUCAGCCUUUUCUCGUAAGACCUUCCCUCCGUACCUGGCAACAUCCUCGUAAAUCUCCUCUGCACCCUUUCCAAAGCUUCCACAUCCUUCUUAUAAUGCGGUGACCAGAACUGGACACAACACUCCAAGUGCUGCCGCACCAGAGUUUUGUACAGCUUCACCAUAACCUCUUGGUUCCGGAACUCGAUCCUUCCAUUAAUAAAAGCUAAAACACUAUAUGCCUUCUUAACAGCCCUGUCAACCUGGGUGGCAACUUUCAAGGAUCUGUGUACAUGGAAACCGAGAUCUCUCUGCUCAUCUACACUACUAAGAAUCUUACCAUUAGCUCUGUACUUUGCCUUCUGGUUACUCCUACCAAAGUGCAUCACCUCACACUUGUCUGCAUUAAACUCCAUUUGCCACCUCUCAGCCCAGCUCUGCAGCUUAUCUAUGUCUCUCUGCAACCUGCAGCAUCCUUCGUCACUAUCCACAAUUCCACUGACCUUAGUGUCGUCUGCAAAUUUACUAACCCAUCCUUCUACGCCCUCAUCCAGGUCAUUUAUAAAAAUGACAAACAGCAGUGGACCCACAACGACACUUGUGGUACACCACUAGUAACUGGUCUCCAGGAUGAACAUUUCCCAUCAACUACCACCCUCUGUCUUCUUUCAGCAAGCCAAUUUCUGAUCCAAACUGCUAUAUCUCCCACAAUUCCAUUCCUCCACACUUUGUACAAUAGCCUAUUGUGGGGAACCUUAUCGAACGCCUUGCUGAAAUCCAUAUACACCACAUCAACCGGUAUACUCUCAUCUACCUGUUUGGCCACCUUCUCAAAGAACUCAGUAAGGUUUGUGAGGCACAACCUUCCCUUCACAAAACCGUGCUGACUAUCCCUAAUCAAUUUAUUCUUUUCUAGAUGAUUAUAAAUCCUAUCCCUUAUAACCUUUUCCAACACUUUACCAACAACUGAGGUAAGGCUCACUGGUCUAUAAUUACCAGAGUUGUCUCUACUCCCCUUCUUGAACAGGGGAACCACAUUUGCUAUUCUCCAGUCGUCUGACAAUAUUCCUGUUGACAAUGAGCAAUAGUUGCAUUCCCGAAGCAGCAAUAAAUCAGGAAAAGAGGAAUUCAGGAAAAUCACUAUCAGAGAAGUGCUGCUGAGUAAGUUGUUGGAGCUGCAGUCUGACAAGUAUUCAAGUCCCGAUGGACCUCAUCCUAGAGUCUUUGCAUAAUAAAUGUAGUGAGAUAGUUGAUGCAUUAGUUUUGAUUUUCCAAACUGCUCUCAAUCUGGAGACAGUCCAAAUAGAUUGGAAGAAAGUGAACGUAGCUCCUUUAUUAAAAGAUUGAAACAGAAAGCUGGAAAUUGAAGGCCAGUUAGCCUAACAUCUCUAAAAUCAGAAUCACAGAAUUAUUGUGGUACAGAAGGAAACUAUUCAGCUUAUCAGUGUCUCGACUGACCGUACUAUCUAGCGCCAAUAUCCUGCCUUUUCCCUGUGUCCCUACACACCAUUACUAUCCAAAAAAAAUCUAAUGCCCUGUUGAAUGCCUCCAAUGAACUUGUCUUGACCACAUUUCCAGGCAUUGCAUUCCAUACUCUAAUGACUCACUGUGUGAAAAAGUUCUUAUCUCACAUCAGCCAUGCUCCAUCACUUUAAAUCGGAAUCUGGCAAUGCUGGGAAACACUCGGCUGAGUCAGCCAGCAUCUCAAAAGAGAAACCAGUUAACCUUUCAAGCAGAAUCACUAUGGUAUCACAAAGGGGAACUUAUGCCUGACAGAUUUACUGGAAUGCUAUGAGGAGGUAACUUCAGGAUAGAUGAAUGAGAAGCAGUCAAUAUUUGGAAAAUAAGUAACAUAUUUGGAUUUUCAGAAGACAUUUGAUAAGGUAUCACUGUUAGGCUAUUUAAUAAGAGCCCAUGGUAUUGAAGUAAGAUUAUUAGCAUGGAUAGAGGAUUAGCUAACUAAUAGAAGAAAGUGAGGUGGGACAAGGGAUCAUUUUCAGGAUGUAACUAGUGGAAUGCCAUAGGGAUCAGAAUGGGGCCACUAUUAUUUAGAAUAUAUAAACAACUUGGCUGAAGGAAGUGAAUAUACUGUGGUCAAAUUUAAUGAAGAUACAAAAAUAUGUGGAAAGGUAAGUGAUGAGGAUGACAAAAGGCGAAUGCAGGGGGAUACAUAUACAGAUUAAUGAGUCAGCAAAAUCUAGUGCACAUGGAAUAUAAUGCAGGAAAAUGGAAGUUUUUGCACUUUGGCAGGAAAAAUAGAGGAGCCGAAUGUAGUUUAAAUGGAGAAAGACCACAGAAAGCUACAUCACAGAGGGAUUUAGGAAUCCUAUGCAUAAAUCACAAAAAGCGAGUAUCCAAGUUCAGCGGGCUAUAGGGAAGGCAAAUGGAAUGUUGGCCUUUAUUUAGAAGAGAAUGAAGAAUGAAAUUAGCAAAAUCUUGCUGAAACUAUAGAAGGCACCAGCCAGACCACAGCUGGAAUGUGGUGAAUAAUUUUGCAGCUUUUAUCGAACGGAAAGAUAUAUCAACAUUAAAGGUAAUCUAGAGAAGGUUUUCUAGGCUCAGACCAGGUAUGGAGGAACUGUCUUAUGAGGAGAGGGUGAUAAAUUGGGCCUGUAAUUAUUGGAGUUUAGAAUAAUGAGAGGCAACCUUAUUGAAAUAUACAAAAUUCUGAGGGAAGUAGACAGGGUAGAUAUGGAGGGUGGGUGGCCAGGAGAGGUGGUUGUUUCUUCCUGUGGGAGAAUCUAGGACCAGAGAGCACAAUCUCAGAAUAAGGUGUUGCCUAUUCAAUUCAUAGAUGAGAAGGAAUUGCUUCUCUCAGGGGAUAGUGAAGUUGUGGAAUUCUUUACUGCAAAUGGCUGUUGAGGCUGAGUCAUUAAAUAUAUUCAAGGUUGGGAUAGGCAUUUUUUUUAAUCAGUAAGCAAAUCGAGGGUUAUAGGAAAGAGGCAGGAAAGUGGAGUUGAUUAUCAGAUCAGCCAUGAUCUCAGUGAAUAGUGGAGCGGACUCAAUUGGCUAGUGGCCUACUUCUGUUUCCAAAUCUUAUGGUCUUUAAGUAUAGAACCCAUACAGUGUGGAAGCAGGCCACUCAGCCUACACCAACCCUCUGAAGAGCAUCCCACCCAAGAUGCAAUUCUUACCACAUCCCUGUAACCCUGCAUUUCCCAUGGCUAAUGCUUGCCCUGCAUGUCCAGGAUACCAUGGGACUAUUUAGCUUGCCAACCUGCAUAUCUCUGGACUGUGGGAGGAAACCAGAGCAUCCGGAGGAAACUCACACAGACCCAGGGUGAAUGUGCAAACUCCAUGCAGAGUUUGUACCUGGGGGUAGAAUUAAGUCCAGGUUUCUGGCACUGCAAGGAGCAAUGCUAACCACUGAGUCAACGUGAUGCUCACACAUGAUCUAAUCAGCCUGCAAUUCCCUACUUUCUGCCUCCUUUUUGAAUAAGAAAUUCCGCUUGCUACUUUCCGGCCAAAUGGAAUUCUCUCUCAAUAUAGGCAAUUUUGGAAAAUUGGAACCUACAUUUCGCCUCACUAUUGCACUUCUUUUAAAGCUAUAGGUUGAAAUCCAUCAGAACCCGAGUACUUGUCAGCCAGCAUCUCCUACAAUUUGCUCGGUACCGCUUCCCCAGUGAUUGCAAUUUUCUUGAGUUCCUCCCUACCUUCUAUUUUCUGAUUUACUGCCUCUGUAGUGAAGACCAAUGAAAAAUCCCUAAUAAAUUCAUCAAUUUACACUUUAAAUGGGGAAAUGUACAGUGAAACGUAGAAAGAGCAAGAAAUGGGACUAAUUCAAUUGCUUUCUCAAAGAACUGGCAAAGACACAAUGGGCUGAAUAAGCACCUAAUUAACUUUAUCAACCUAGGAUCCUAUGAAAAAUAAAUUGAACAAUUCAGAGUGAAAUGUUUAUUUGUUUGUGUGGAUCCCUUGCUUCAAGCCAGGGCAAUGCUCAUCAAAGAAUCCAUUGCAGGAAAAAUGUUGGUGUACAAUUUGUGACUUUCUGCUUUUUUCAUUUUAAUGAGUAAAAUCCAUGAGCUGCAUCUACAAUUUCCUGUAAUGCAUUUCUAGUCAGUGCUCCCCCUCAUGAAAGCACAGCGCCAGUUCAUUACAGAGAUAGUAAAAACUGCCGAUGCUGGAGUCAGAGAUAACACAGUGUGGAGCUAGAGGACCACAGCAGGCCAGGCAGCGUCAAAAGGAGCAGGAAAGUUGACAUUUUGGGUCAGGACCCUUCUUCAGAAAAGCCCAUUUCUGAAGAAGGGUCCCGAGACGAAACACCGGCUGUCCUGCUCCUCUUGAUGCUGCCUGGCCUGCUGUGUCCCUCCAACUCCACACUGCGUUAUCGCUAGUUCAUUACAGUUGCGUGUACAGCGUUCCAAAUCCCUGAAGAAAGUUUCCUUGUGACAGACAAUACUACUGUUUUCAGCCUUGGUCUUAGUUGAAGCACUUGUCUAGAAUGUCAAUAUCCAUGCUGUGCAAUGAUGACUUUUAUUUUUUUCCAGUUGAGUUGCUUUGUUUCUCCCACUUGCUGAGUUCAAACUAUAUUCCAGGCUGGAACACAUCAUCUAGGUAGACAGUUCCAUCCUUACUAAGUUGUCAGAAAUACUGUCAUGUUGAUGAGACAGCAAGUCACAGCUUUGGUUGCCUGUUCAGCUGGAUGUGAUAGAUCCUCAGUUCUAUUUGAAGAGUAUUAGGGAGUGCCCCUUGUAUCCAAAAUAAUUUAUCUCUUGAUCAGCCUUAUCAAAAACAUACCCAACUAAUCAAAUCAUUUACCACAUUGCCAUUAAUUAAUCUUACCUAUGCACUACACACUUCUUCUUCUAAAUUGGCCAGAAAUGAAGGAAUGGCACACCCAAACCGGAAAAGGAGUCUAAAACUCAAAGCUACGAAUUCCUACAUUCAAUCAUUUGUGUGGGUUUCAAGUUGUCUGUACAUUUUCUCCCAUAUUUGCAAUUCCCCUUUCUGCAAUAUAACUUCCAACUACCCUCAAGCGACAUAGUGCAGGGAAAGUAAACAACGUUUGAUGCUAAUGAUGCUUAUCUGAAUUUAUUUGAAAGAUCCUGGUGUUUGAGUGUCAUGAAAUCACGCUCUCACACAACAUAGUAACACGAUGGUUAUAAAUCACUGUUGAACAGUUGAGGCCUUAAUAUUUUUGCUUUAACAUUUCACACUGCAGCCACCAGCAGUGCUUCUCAAACUUGUCUGAAACAGAAAUAAACUUGAGAAGGUGCAGAAAAGGUUUACAAAGACGUUGCGAGGAUUGAAGCAUUGGAGUUACAGGGAGACACUGAAUAGUCUGGGGCAUUUUUCCCUGGAGCAUCAAAGGCUAAGGGUGACCUUGUAGACAUUUAUAAAAUCAUGAGGGGCGUGGAUAGGGUGAAUAGCCAAGGUCUUUUUCCUUGUUUUGAAGAAUCCAAAAGUGGAGAGAACAGGUUUGAGGUGAGCGGGGAAAGAUUUAAAAAGGACCUGAGGGAUAUCUUUUUCAUACAAAGGGUGAUGCAUAAAUGGAACAAGCUGCCAGAAGGAGAGGAGGAGGAGGGUGCAAUUACAACAUUCAAAAGGUAUCUGGUAUGUGAAUAGGAAGGGUUUAGAGGCAUAUGGUCCAAAUGCUGGUAAAUGGGACCAGGUGUAAUUGGGAUGUCUGGUUGGCCUGCACGAGUUGUGUUGAGGUGUCUGUUUCCAUGCCGCAUAACUCUGUGACUCUAUGAAUGUUUUGUUUUCUUCCAAGUGUACUGCAGUUCAGCGACUAAACCUAAAUGUUAUUCUGCAUAUUCUUAGAAAUUCAAAUACGUUGUAAAUGAAAUUCAAUGCAUUAAAAAAAGAACAUCCUAA